rnacentral:pre_miRNA from 1 species
GAGAGCUCCCUAGAUUGGCAGUGUGGUUAGCUGGUUGUCGAUAUUCGAUGUUCGUACAAUCAGUAACGACACUGCUUCUUGAAGGAGCUCCAG